ensembl:lncRNA
AUGUGAAAAGACUGAAGAUUCUGCCAAGAGUACAGAAGCCAAAUCAAGGAAACGAGGAAACGCACUCAAUCCCAUUGGUUCUAAGAGUCGAACAGCACUCAAGUCCAAAGCUACAGUUUCUGAAGGCGAGAGUACAAGUGAAGAAAUGGUAGAGGGCCAGAUUAAUAAAGAGACCUGUUCAUCACAAAAAUCUACAGAGAAAAUAUCUGACAAUGAUUCUUCAGAUCAAGAGACCACUGUGCUGAUAUCAAGACCAACUAGAUCUGGGAGAAUUUCCAAACCUGUGCAAGCCUUAAAUUACCCGGCAAAAGAGGAUACAAACUCAUCAGAUACCACUAUGACCUCGCCUGCACGUAAGACUGCUACAAAAGCCAAAGGCAAAGGCUCUGGGAAGAGGGGAAGAACGGGAAGAUCAGCACAACAACAAUCAGCAAAAGAGUCAAAGAAACCCAAAUUGAUAACACUCAGAGCCUCCCAGUCAGAAGAGAGUGACAAUGAAGAAGAGGAACCUGAUGCACCACAUGACGACGAUGAGAACAGUACAAGUGCGUUUGUGCCGGCCAGUCUGUGCUCGCCCAGACCUGUGGUCCCACAGGUAGAGGAGACGAUGGAAGAGGAUGUCAUUGACUUCCUUUCAGAACAUACAGAAACAUCAGGGGAUGAAGGCUACAACGAGGCUGCUCAAACCUUGUUGACGUUUGGAAAUCUGGCUAGUCUGUCCCAACCGACAGAGAGUCAGUCAUCGAUGUCAGAUCACACAUCAAAUAUUGAAAGCAGCCAAUGCAUUGAAGUAGAUGAUACAUCAAAGUCUUCUUUGCAGCUAGAAGAAUGCCCUCAGUCAGUUUCACAACCAUCAACUGAAGACAGCGCAACAGUACAGCUACCAGUGACUCAUACCUCUGACACACAGGCUAUUAUAUCUAGUGGGGAAUUGUGUAGCACACAAGAGAAGUCGUCACCUCUCAGGAAGGGAAGGUUUUCUAAGAUAAAACCUAAGCCUAACCUUGGUUCUAGGACUACAAAGCUGUGCACACAGACUGUUGGGGCUGCUAUAGAAACCAAACGGGUUGAAUUGGACACUGCAACAAUCAGUCAUCCCCAAUCUUCAGAACAACUGGAAUUUACUCGGGCUGUGUCCAAACCAUCACACACUGAAAACAGACCAACAGACAAUGCAACAAAAGUGAUGCCAGCGUCCUGUAUUUCUAAUAAACAAGUUGGUUAUGAUCAGUGUGGAAUACCAGAGACAGCCAUGUGUACUAAACUUACUCCAGAAACUACAAAUAACUUGUCUUUGAUCAAAGAGGACACAACAACAAUGCAAAAUGUUCUUUGUAAUUUAAGGACCACAACACAGACUGUUGAAGAAAGGACACAGAUUUCUGAUGACAUCGCAACAACCAGUCAGCUCAGAUCUUUAGAAUAUGAGGAGGAUUCCACUCAGACGGUCUCAGGACAAUCCAACACUAAAAAUCUAGCAUCACUCAGUACAAGGAAUGAGAUGCCAGAAUCACACACUUCUGAUACACAAGUCAUUAAACCCAGUGAUGAAUCCUGUAGCUCACGAGAAACCACUACUUCUCAACUUGCUUCUGUAAGUGCUAAUAAUUCUCCAAUAUCAAGGAAAGGAAGACUCUCGAAUCUUAAACCUAAGCCAAACAUUGGGUGUGCUUCAAGGGCUACAAAAUUGUCUUCAAAAUCAAGUGUUACCAAUGAGGAAAAAAGGCAGAUUGAGUGUGAAAUUGCAGCAACAGGUGAGCCCCAGUCACCUGCACUUUCAGUCUCAGAAUCUGCCACAGUAUCA